GACAUCGUCCUUACCCAGUCUCCAUCUACCAUGUCUACAUCUCUAGGAGAGAGAGUCACUAUCACUUCCAAGGCGAGUCAGGACAUUAAUAGCUAUUUAAGCUGGUUUCAGCAGAAACCAGGGAAAUCUCCUAAGACCCUGAUCUGUCGUGUAAAGAGAUUGGUAGAUGGGGUCCCAUCAAGGUUCAGUGGCAGUGGAUCUGGACAAGACUAUUCUCUCACCAUCAGCAGCCUGGAGUAUGAAGAUAUGGGAAUUUAUUAUUGUCUACAGUAUGAUGAGUUUCCUCCAUGUACCCGUUCGGAGGGGGGACCGAGCUGGAAAUAAAACGGGCUGAUGCUGCACCAACUGUAUCCAUCUGCGACC
rnacentral:misc_RNA from 1 species